GCGCACGUGGUGAAAUUGGUAGACACGCCAUCUUGAGGGGGUGGUGGGCGAAAGCCCGUGGAAGUUCGAAUCUUCUCGUGCGCA
rnacentral:tRNA from 1 species